UAAAAAUUUUUAUUUAUAUUAAUUUUCUCGAAGUUAGAAGAGCGAGCUUAUGUAUUUAUAUUAUUGUGGAAUAAAUAUUUAAAAUAUUAGGCUAGUAAUGAAAUGUUAUUCGUUUCUAAAUAUAUCUAGUUUUUUUAGAAAUGAAUUUAAUUCUGAAUUAAUUUUAAAUAAUUUGUUUAUUUUUUAAGCAGGUUGUUUGGUUAGUUUAAUGUCUUGAGGGAUGAGCUUUUAGACAAAUUUUUAUAAAUUAGGAAAGUAUUUAAGAUGAGUAGGAUUGGAAGUUUUUAUUUUUAAAAGGAUGUUAUGUUUGAUCUUAUUAAUAAUAUUAUUUAUAUUGGUUUUAAAUUUUUUAUAAAAAUUUUAAUUUUAAUUUUUUAUGUUAAGUAAUUAUGAUAGAAUUAGUAUAUUUGUUUGUUUUUUUUUAGCUUAUCUUUUAGGUUAGUAGAAGGAAUUCGGCAAAAAAAUUUUCACCUGUUUAUUAAAAACAUGGCCUUUUGAUUAUUAUUUAAGGUCUAGCCUGCCCACUGAUUAGUUUAACGGCCGCGGUACCCU
rnacentral:rRNA from 1 species